rnacentral:rRNA from 1 species
AUUGAACGCUGGCGGCAGGCCUAACACAUGCAAGUCGAGCGGAUGAAGGGAGCUUGCUCCUGGAUUCAGCGGCGGACUGGUGAGUAAUGCCUAGGAAUCUGCCUGGUAGUGGGGGAUAACGUCCGGAAACGGGCGCUAAUACCGCAUACGUCCUGCGGGAGAAAGUGGGGGAUCUUCGGACCUCACGCUAUCAGAUGAGCCUAGGUCGGAUUAGCUAGUUGGUGGGGUAAAGGCCUACCAAGGCGACGAUCCGUAACUGGUCUGAGAGGAUGAUCAGUCACACUGGGACUGAGAAACGGUCCAGACUCCUACGGGAGGCAGCAGUGGGGAAUAUUGGACAAUGGGCGAAAGCCUGAUCCAGACAUGCCGCGUGUGUGAAGAAGGUCUUCGGAUUUUAAAGCACUUUAAGUUGGGAGGAAGGGCAGUAAGUUAAUACCUUGCUGUUUUGACGUUACCAACAGAAUAAGCACCGGCUAACUUCGUG